rnacentral:rRNA from 1 species
AUUGAACGCUGGCGGCAUGCCUUACACAUGCAAGUCGAACGGCAGCACGGGGCAACCUGGUGGCGAGUGGCGAACGGGUGAGUAAUGCAUCGGAACGUACCUUUCAGUGGGGGAUAACGUAGCGAAAGUUACGCUAAUACCGCAUAUUCUGUGAGCAGGAAAGCAGGGGAUCGCAAGACCUUGCGCUGAUUGAGCGGCCGAUGUCAGAUUAGCUAGUUGGUGAGGUAAAGGCUCACCAAGGCGACGAUCUGUAGCGGGUCUGAGAGGAUGAUCCGCCAAACUGGAACUGAGACACGGGCGAGACGCCGAAGGGAGGCAGCAUUGGGGAAUUUUGGACAAUGGGGGCAACCCUGACGCAGCCAUGCCGCGUGAGUGCAGAAGGCCUUCGGGUUGUAAAGCUCUUUCGGCCGGGAAGAAAUCGCACGGGCUAAUACCCUGUGUGGAUGACGGUACCGGAAUAAGAAGCACCGGCUAACUACGUGCCAGCCGCCGCAGUAAGAC